GCGUGUAGCCCAACGCGGCAGAGGCGGCGUGCUCAAACCACGCGGAGUGAGAGUUCGAAUCUCUCCACGCGCA
rnacentral:tRNA from 1 species